AAAACAAUGAAUGUUUUAUAAAAAUGGAGAAGACAAUUAUUGGCCCUUAAUUGAUUGAACGUCUUUACAUAUUCAUUCAUAUACAGUGUAAAACAUAUAUGUAUGGUGGAUCAUGCUGAUUGUUUCUAAAAUCCAAUGUGUUGCUUGUCAGAUUUACAGCUAAACUAAACAUAAAAAUAAAACGACAUGAAUAUUUUUACAUUUAAAAGUAUUAUUUUUUUUAUUAAUUUUAAGAUGGUAAUUCUAUGCUAGAGUUUUUAUUUUAGGUUUCAUUUUUUUCUUAAACGCCUUAAACACAUGGCUUUUUUUAUUAAUCCUUUUUUUUAUUUUCACGUUCUAUUAACUUAAUCAAAAAGUGAAAUAUUUUCGUUACUUUUUUG